AAAUAAGAAGCAACUUGCAUUUAAUUUCGACUUAAAAGAUUGAGAAUAACAUCUCCUUAUUUA
rnacentral:tRNA from 1 species